rnacentral:rRNA from 1 species
UUGAACGCUGGCGGCAUGCCUUACACAUGCAAGUCGAACGGUAGAGGGGCAACCCUUGAGAGUGGCGAACGGGUGAGUAAUAUAUCGGAACGUGCCCAGUCGUGGGGGAUAACGCAGCGAAAGCUGCGCUAAUACCGCAUACGAUCUAUGGAUGAAAGCGGGGGAUCGCAAAGACCUCGUGCGAUUGGAGCGGCCGAUAUCAGAUUAGGUAGUUGGUGGGGUAAAAGCCCA